rnacentral:rRNA from 1 species
UACGGAGGGUGCGAGCGUUGUCCGGAAUCACUGGGCGUAAAGGGCGCGUAGGCGGCGCGAGUAGUCAACGGUGAAAGCCCGGGGCUCAACCCCGGGUCGGCCGUCGAUACUCUCGUGCUUGAGCACUGUAGAGGCAGGUGGAAUUCCGGGUGUAGCGGUGGAAUGCGUAGAUAUGCGGAGGAACACCGAUGGCGAAGGCAAUCCCCUGGGCCUGCACUGACGCUCAUGCACGAAAACGUGGGGAGCAAACAGG